CUGCAAGCCUGCGGGCGACGUCCUGGGACUGGCUUUGGACCGAGAGGAGCGCUUUUCGCCCUUCCCGCUGAGGAGGCGCCCAAGGAGAAGCGCCGUCGCGCGAGGUCCGAGAAGAUGGCCAAGGCCAGCAGCACCACCAGACGGCUUUGGAAGUUCCUCUGGACCGCUGCCCUCACCCUCUGCGUCCGUCUGCAGACAACAGCAGAACAGUUACAAGAGGCUUACUUCCUGCCUGAAUUUGUACUUUCCCCACAAGGAAGUUUUUUAGAAGACACUGCAGGAGAGAAGUUCCUUAC